GAUUCUGGCUCAGGAUGAACGCUGGCGGCAUGCCUAAUACAUGCAAGUCGAACGGAGUGAAGCCUUCGGGUUUCAUUCAGUGGCGAACGGGUGAGUAAUACGCAGGGAACCUGGCCAUGGCAGGGGGAUACACUCUGGAAACGGAGCAUAAGACCCCAUAGGCAGUAAGGCGGCAUCGCCUUACUGUUAAAGAAAGCUGAAAGGCUUUGGCGAUGGAUGGACCUGCGGUGCAUUAGCUUGUUGGUGAGGCAACGGCUUACCAAGGCGAUGAUGCAUAGCCGGCCUGAGAGGGCGGACGGCCACACUGGGACUGAGACACGGCCCAGACUCCUGCGGGAGGCAGCAGUAGGGAAUUUUCGUCAAUGGGCGCAAGCCUGAACGAGCAAUGCCGCGUGAGUGAGGAAGGUCUUCGGACUGUAAAGCUCUGUUGCCGGGGAAAAAGGGGAAAUGCAGGAAAUGGCAUUUCAUGGAUGGUACCCGGCCAGAAAGCCACGGCUAACUACGUGCCAGCAGCCGCGGUAAUACGUAGGUGGCGAGCGUUAUCCGGAAUGAUUGGGCGUAAAGGGUGCGCAGGCGGUCUGUUAAGUCUGAAGGCAAAGGGAUGAGCUCAACUCAUUUAUGAUUCAGAAACUGGCAGACUUGAGGACAGGAGAGGGCGGUGGAACUCCAUGUGUAGCGGUAAAAUGCGCAGAGAUAUGGAAGAACACCAGUGGCGAAGGCGGCCGCCUGGCCUGUGACUGACGCUGAGGCACGAAAGCGUGGGGAGCAAAUAGGAUUAGAUACCCUAGUAGUCCACGCCGUAAACGAUGAGGAGCAGGUGUUGGGAGUGAAAUCUCAGUGCCGAAGCCAACGCAGUGACUCCUCCGCCUGGGGAGUAUGCACGCAAGUGUGAAACUCAAAGGAAUUGACGGGGGCCCGCACAAGCGGUGGAGUAUGUGGUUUAAUUCGAAGCAACGCGAAGAACCUUACCAGGUUUUGACAUCGGAUGCGAAGGCGCAGAGAUGCGCUGGAGGCUAUCAUCCAGACAGGUGGUGCAUGGUUGUCGUCAGCUCGUGUCGUGAGAUGUUCAGUUAAGUCUGGCAACGAGCGCAACCCCCGUGGUAUGUUACUAACGCAUUUGGGCGAGGACUCAUAUCAGACUGCCGGUGACAAACCGGAGGAAGGCGGGGAUGACGUCAAAUCAUCAUGCCCCUUAUGACCUGGGCUACACACGUACUACAAUGGCGUCUACAGAGGGAAGCGACCCUGAGAAGGGAAGCGAAACCGGAAAAGGGCGUCCCAGUUCGGAUUGAAGUCUGCAACCCGACUUCAUGAAGAUGGAAUCGCUAGUAAUCGCGGAUCAGCAUGCCGCGGUGAAUACGUUCCCGGGCCUUGUACACACCGCCCGUCAAACCAUGGAAGCCGGCAACGCCCGAAGCCGGUGGCAUAACCUUUUAGGAGUGAGCCGUCGAAGGCGGGGCCGAUGACUGGGGUUAAGUCGUAACAAGGUAGCC
rnacentral:rRNA from 1 species